rnacentral:lncRNA from 1 species
CGACAGAGCUAGACUCCGUCUCAAAAAAAAAAAAAAAAAGAAAUGGGAAAACAUUGAGGAUGAAGUAGCAAAUAUUUGAGAAUUCAACUUGAUUGGUGGCUGUUGCAGGUUCAUACGUGAGUGGUUACGUAGUGGGUAGUUAAACUGACAAUGACCAGCUGAAUUUUGGUGACAGGACUGCUCCUAAGGUUUGAAAUGUAGCGUAUCCUCUGAUUCACGGGCUAAGCUCUGCCACUUAGCAGGAGGAGCUCAUGAUAGAGCAGGUUGAGGGGAAAACUUUGCCCCAUAAGGGUUCUUCACUGCAAGUGAGAAGGUCUUGGCUUUGAGCCUCCAAUUUCAAUCAGACAGAAAGCAGACCAGUCGGCAGGACAGUAUAUGCCUCUGGAGAUCCGUGCUGAUGUGGGGGCCUCAGAUACAAGAUGCCUCAGGGCCCAGGCGUGACCCUCUCCUUCCCUCCUGCACGGAGAUGCUGUGAGAAUUAGACACUCCCACAGGGCCCUGUCAGACACUGAGCUAGCCUCUGGGAACCGGAAGAUAUUCAAAACACCAGCCACCCCCCACACACACAGACAAGGCGCUGGAGGGACAGCUGUGCAGCGGCAGAGCAUGAGAGGUCUUGAUCAGUUAACUCAGUGAGGUUAGGAGGCGAAUUUUUUUUUUUUUGAGAUGGAGUCUUACUUUGUCACCCAGUCAGGAGUGCAGUGGCGUGAUCUCGGCUCACUGCAACCUCCGCCUCCUGGCCUCAAGUGAUUCUUCCGCCUCAGCCUCCCGAGUAGCUGGGACUACAGGUGCGUGCCACCACACCCAGCUAAUUUUUGUAUUUUUGGUAGAGACAGUGUUUCACCACGUUGGACAGGCUGGUCUCAAUCUCUUGACCUCGUUAUCUGCCUGCCCUGGCCUCCCAAAGUGCUGGGAUUAUAGGUGUGAGCCACAAAGCCUUUUUGUUUUCAUUUUUGAGAUGGAGUCUCGCUCUGUCGCCCAGGCUGGAGUGCAGUGGCAUGAUCUCAGCUCACUGCAACCUCUGCAUCCCAGUUCAAGCAGUUCUCCGCCUCGGCCUCCUGAGUAGCUGGGAUCACAGGUGCCCGCCACCACACUUGGCUAAUUUUUUGUAUUUUUAGUAGAGAUGAGGUUUCACCGUGGUGGCCAGGCUGGUCUCAAACUCCUGACCUCAAAUGAUCUGCCUGCCUCGGCUUCCCAAAGUGCUGGGAUGACACUGAGCCACCGCGCCUGGCAAGGAGGUAACUUGAUCCAUACGUUUGCGUUUACAUGGUGCGAGGAAAGGGCACCCUUGGUAGAUGGAACAGCGUGUACAAAGGCCCGGAGGUUUAAAAUCACCACUCUUCUAGCCCUCAUACUAACUUUGCCUAUUUUGAACUUUAUAUAAAUGGAAUUAUAUUGCAUGUUCUCUUUUGUAUCUGACUUCCUUUUCUCAAUACUAUAUGAGUGGUAUCCAUGCCAUUUAAAGUAAUGGUGGAUUAACUCAAUGCUACGUCGCCUUCUAGUUGAUGGAGGGCAGGCAAGACCCACAGUGGGGCUGAGCCCCUCGAGGGUUCCUGGCUUUGCCCAGGAAACAAUUCAAGGGCAAGCUGGAAGUGAAAGUAAACAGGCCAGGCAUGGUGGGAGUUACUACCCCUUUCCAUGGCAAUGACCCCACGACCCAAAAGUUACUACCCCUUCCCUAGAAACUUUUGCCUGGGCUGCCCCUUAAUCUACAUGAAAUUAAAAGUGGGUGUAAAUGUGGCUGCAGAACUGUCCUGAGCUGCUGCUCUCAGCACACUCUGCCCAGCACACCCCGCCUGCAGGGGCCGUCGCAGAGCUGUAACCCUGCCGCUUCAAGCUGUUUUGUUUUGUUUUUCUUUCGAGACAGUCUCGCUCUGCUCUUCCAGUUUGAAUAUCACGCAGGCUGGAGCGCAGUGGCGCAAUCUCGGCUCACUGCAACCUCUGCCUCCUGGGUUCAAGCAAUUCUGCCUCAGCCACCCGAGUAGCUGGGAUUACAGGCACACGCCACCAUGCCCGGCUAAUUUUUGUAUUGUAUUAGAGACAGGGUUUCACCAUGUUGGCGAGGCUGGUCCCGAACUCCUGGCCUCAAGUGAUCUGCCCGCCGUCCGCCUCAGUGUCCCGAGGUGCUGGGAUUACAGGUGUGAGCCACCGCACCCAGCAAAAGUGCUUUCUCGAGAUGGAAUCUGCGCCUGGUGAAGAUGCUCUAAACAUUGCUGAGAUAACAAAGGAUUUAGAAUAUUCCAUAAACUUCGUUGGUACAGCAGCGAUAGGGUUCGAGAGGAUUUUCCAGUUGUGAGAGAAGGUCUGCUGUGGACAAAAUGCUACCAAACAGCAUCGCGUGCUACGGAGAAAUCUUUUGUGAAAGGAAGAAGCUCAAUGUGGCCAGCUUUAUUGUUGUCUUAUUUUAAGAAAUUGCUGGCCGGGUGUGGUGGAGAAUCACUUGAACCCAGGAGGCAGAGGUUGCAGUGAGCCGAGAUCACGCCAUUGAACUCCAGCUGGGCAUAAGAGCAAAACUCCAUCUCAAAAAAAAAAAAAAAAAGGAAGAAAUUGCCACAGCCACCUCAGCCUUCAGCCACCACCACCCUGAUCAGUCAGCAGCCACAAACAAGACCUUCCACCAGCAAAGAGAUCCCAACUUCCUCAAGCCUCAGCACUACCGAGGUUGACGCAGCUAGAUGGUUUUCUCCCCGGCUGGUUGCUGCUUCUCACCCACAGAGGCGGUGGAGCCCUUGGAACUGGGCAGAACACAGGGCUGCCUUGUCACCACUGCCUGGCUGAACCUGAAAUUGGGCCGUUUGACAGAAAGACUUGAAAGGGCCACCAGUAAAUUCUUUUUUCUUUUCAUUGAUUUUCCUCUUCUUACUUUCCUCCUCCUGAAGUUGGGGUCAUGUCCCAAGAAGACCCACAAGGCCUGGCCUGUGGGUGCACAUGUGGGGAGGGUCAGGUCUGUCGGCUGAGGAGGGCAUUGGUAGGGGACUUUGAGCAGUGCUGCUCCGGAGACACGAAUGAUGGGAUGGGAGGCUCUCCCAUAUCUGCCGAGAGCACAGCACCCCAUGACUCCUGGGAGCUUGUCAUAGAUGCUGCAGAUGAGUCCUUCCUCAGACGGGAUAUUUGCUAAUGCCUCUGCCAGCCUGGGCUUGUCUUCUCAGGGCCUUUCAAAAUGCACACACCCUUCAUUCUCAUGAUGUCCAGUGGAUCAGGUUUUCCUUUAUGUGUCAUGCUUUUAGUGUUUAAGAAUCAUUUCUCUAACCCAAGUCACACUGACAUCCUCCUUUUCAUUCUUAACGCACAUUUUACAGUUGUAGGCCUUACAUUUUGGCUUAUAAUAAGUUCUGAGGCCAGGCACAGUGCUCACACCUGUAAUCCUGGCACUUUGAGAGGCCAAGGCGGGUGGAUCACCAGAGGUCAGGAGUUUGACACAAGCCUGGCCAACAUGGUGAAACCCCG